rnacentral:rRNA from 1 species
CAGGGAAUCUUGCGCAAUGGGCGAAAGCCUGACGCAGCAACGCCGCGUGGGGGAUGACGGCCUUCGGGUUGUAAACCCCUUUCAGGAGGGAAGAAAUUGACGGUACCUCCAGAAGAAGCCCCGGCCAACUACGUGCCAGCAGCCGCGGUAAUACGUAGGGGGCAAGCGUUGUCCGGAAUUAUUGGGCGUAAAGAGCUCGUAGGCGGCUCAGCAAGUCGGCUGUGAAAUCCCGAGGCUCAACCUCGGAACUGCAGUCGAUACUGCUGUGGCUAGAGUCUGGUAGAGGAGAAUGGAAUUCCCGGUGUAGCGGUGAAAUGCGCAGAUAUCGGGAGGAACACCAGUAGCGAAGGCGGUUCUCUGGGCCAGUACUGACGCUGAGGAGCGAAAGCGUGGGGAGCAAACAGG